rnacentral:rRNA from 1 species
UACGUAGGGACCAAGCGUUGUUCGGAUUUACUGGGCGUAAAAGGCGCGUAGGCGGCAUGACAAGUCACUUGUGAAAUCUCCGGGCUUAACUCGGAACGGCCAAGUAAUACUGCAGAGCUAGAGUGCAGAAGGGGCAACUGGAAUUCUUGGUGUAGCGGUGAAAUGCGUAGAUAUCAAGAGGAACACCUGAGGCGAAGGCGGGUUGCUGGGCUGACACUGACGCUGAGGCGCGAAAGCUAGGGGAGCGAACGGG